UCCCAGUAUCCAUCUGCACAGUCUGAGAACAGGACUUCUCUGUGUACAUGGGAAUCACAAACUAAGAGAACAGAUCCAGAGUCUGCAGAAGGUAAUGUGACAGAGAGAAAACAUGCAGAGCAGAGCCGACCUAUUUUUUAAAAAAAGGCAGAGGAAUGACAGAAUCACUUGUGUGAAGAAGAAGAAAAGCUUAAACCUGGAGCAGAGAAGCACAGUUACUCUCACCACUGCCUGAGACCCUCUUCAGCCUUUCUGAUAAAUGUAGAGGAGGAUGGGGUGGGGUGGCUGUUUGGACAGACCAGUGAUCCACCACCCCCUUGCUUUUAAUUUUAUGGUCCUGAAGAUCAGCUUGUGCCUGCUUCUUCCUCAUAGCCCUAAUCCUCUCCCAGCCUUCUACAGUGCAGUGCUUGGAAAUGCUGUUGGGCCCAUCUACCAAGCCAGGUCAGAAUGGGCAACAACCACAACAAAACCCCACCGCACUAGCUUAGCCACAGUGCAGCCCCAGUGACCUUAGGAGGUCACACAGGAAGCAGUGUCACCAGGACAGGCUGCUUUCAAUGCCUAAGGUCUGCUGCCCAUUCAGCUUAGAGGAGAAACCAUUCCACGAUUUUAUCAAGACUAUUUAGGGAGGUCGUUACAAUUAGUAACAGGGUGCAACAUUUUACAGUCUAUAGAAUAACUCAGGAAAACAAAUUAUUAAGUCGUUCUAAAUCAAGUAAUCAUUAGGGAUAUAGAAAACCUGAGGUUAUAUGUGAUGAAUGAAUAAACGGAAUACAUAUUUCAA